GAGCCGGUCGUGUGCGUUGGGCGCGGCGGGAGCCCAGACUCCUCCCCGGAGUCGCUCGGGCGCCGGACUCUGCCCGGGGCGGGCCCUGCGGGGCGGAGCUCACUCUGCGGGCGGCGGAGCCACCCCGCCCCGCCAAGCCGAGCCGGCCCGAGGUCCAGAGCCGAGGGGAGGAGCAGCGCCGCGACCCUGGGCUCGCUGAGCGCCCUCCAAGGGAAUCCGGCCUUAACGUAAUGGGAACAUUCUUGAUCUUGGUGUCCCAAAGACGAAGGUUUGAGUUUCAGCUCUGUUAAUUUUACUGUGAUCUUGGUGCUGACGUGGAGCUCCUUUCAGUUUAUGCACCACAUAAUUACAAGAUCUAAGAAGUUAGUUUUGUCCAACUGAUUUAUGUUUUCCUAAAGCUGGACUUCACAAUGACAACAGUAACAGUGACCACGACAGUUCCCUUGAGGGGGAAGGUAGAAGAUAAUUCUGCCUUGUACGAGUCCACAUCAGCUCACAUCAUCGAAGAAACUGAAUAUGUGAAAAAGAUUCGAACUACUCUGGAAAAGAUCCGAAAUCAAGUAUUUAAAGAUGAAGUAAGACAUAACAGUACAAAUCACAGACAAGAUGCAAAGCACUGUCAACACAUUCAGAACGGCUCUGGCUCUGAAAUGGACCCCUCUGGUUGCAGUUUUGAUCUGCUCCUGGAAAGGAUAAAAGGAAAAGACCGACAGCUCUUAGAAAUGAACAAAGAGAAUGAAGUGUUGAAAAUCAAGCUCGAAGCGUCCAGAGAAGCAGGAGCAGCAGCUCUGAGAAAUGUGGCCCAGAGAUUAUUUGAAAACUAUCAAACACAGUCUGAAGAAGUUAGAAAGAAGCAUGAGGACAGUAGACACCUACUCCAGGUUAACAAACUUGAAAAAGAACAGAAACUGAAGCAACAUGUUGAAAAUCUGAAGCAAAUUUCCGAAAAGCUUGAAGAAAAACAUAAUCAAAUCACAGAAUUGGAGAAUCUUGUACAGAGAAUGGAAAAGGAAAAGAGAACACUGCUAGGAAAAAAGCUGUCUUUGGAAAACAAUCUGCUGCAUCUCAAAUCCAAGGAUACAAAUGCUAAAAGUUGCCAAGAUCUUCAGAAGGAGAUUUCCCUCCUCCAGGAGCAGAUCUCUCACCUGCAGUUUGUGAUUCACUCCCAGCAUCAGAACCUGCGCAGUGUCAUCCAGGAGAUGGAAGGCUUAAAAAAUAAUUUAAAAGAACAAGAUAAAAGAAUUGAAGAUCUGAAAGAAAAAGUUAACAUACUUGAAGCCCAGGAGGACCUGACUUUGAAUCUAAGUUCUGCCCUGAACAAGAUGCUGGACAUUUAAACUCUUCAGAUCUCAGUUUUUUGUUAUAAUAAUGGUCCUUGGACUAGAAAAUCAUAACCAACUGCCUUUAAGUCUUAAAAUCUGUGCCAGACACCCAGCUGAGUAGUUUGCAUAUCUUUAUCUCAUUUCAGAACCUGUGAAGAAGGGACUAUGAACAUAUCUAUUAAUAUGAAUGAGGAAAUUAGGCACAGAGGGGAUAAGUAACCUAAAUGAGGUCACACAGCUAAACAAAGAACUUAAAACCAAGGUGGCAUUCUGGUCUGAAACUCCUAGGACGAAGGUAUCCAAGGCGGUCUCUACAAGGUCUCACGUUUGCAAAAGGAAAUCUAGCCAAUCGGCUGUUUGAAAAGGUAAGUGGUAGUGUGGUUUGGUAAGUCUAGAUUCACCAACAUAGAAUGGAAUUAUGACUCUCGGGAGGAAUUGGAGUAUAAAAAUAGCCAUUAAUGCAAAGAAAAAAAGAAUCACAUAUAUUUAAAAAUUAAUCUUGGCAAAUCUCUUAAAUCAGAGAAUUCUUUCAGUUAGUACGAGAAAACAAGUUUUUUUUCCCCCCAAGCAUUAGAACAUAUAGAUGUUUCUUGAGUUGAACACCAAUGAAAGGGUUUGCUGGAUAUUAAGGAUCCGGUUGUUACAAAACAACAAAACAGCAACAAUAAGACACACAUAUAUACAUAUAUGUGUACAUACGUGUGUGCACAAAUAUUGAUGUGUGUGUGUAUAUUUGUGUGUGUGUAUAUAUAUAUAUAUAUUUUUAAACUAGACUCACACAGUGAAGAGAGAAUUUUAGGCUGUGAGAAACCCACAGAACUAAAACAUCCUGAAGGAACAAUCGAUUUAUCUGUCCCAUCUCCAAGUCACUCUGGUUCAUGUCUUCACUGAGUAGAAGGGCAGACACAAGCUCUAGCUCUUUCUCCCUCCUGUCCUCUUACAAUCAGAUCCACUUACAUAAGGUUAAUGCAUCCAUAACAUGCUUCUGCUGUGUCUUAUGGGGAAUUAGAAUCGGUCAAUUAACCAUCAUCCAUUCAGUUAAAGCAAUUAGUUCAGACUUGGAAGUACAGCAGUAGUGGAGAUGGUAAUGGAGGUGGUACAGCAGUUAUAUCAAUAAAGUUUUAUGUGCUUGAUUUUGAUAAUUGUGUGGUCUUCUCCACAGUGAGUUGAAGACUGAAGGCACGACCCCAUAUUUGAUGUUGGUUAGGCUACGGAAAUGAGCUGCUGGGCUGAAGAUCGGAAUGAGAAAGAUCACUAUCUGGGUCUUAUUUAUUUCUUGAAACACAGUCUAAAUUUACAUAUUAAACUGCUCAAUGCCAGUAUUUAAUGGAAUUUAUUGUAUUAUAUUUAAUAUGUACAUCAAUGGCUUUGCAGGAAGGUAACAUUUCAGAAAAUCAAACAAAUAUAUAUUCAAGGAAAGGAACUCUUUCUUCAAAACUUACUAAGUGGAUGAAGAAACUGGAUGCUUUCCCACGAAGGAAGAUGAAUUUUGCUUUAAACUUAAAAAAAAAUCUGAAAUUUUUUUGGGCAGUUUUUUUUCAAGGAACUGGUUAAGGGGUUAAGAUUGUCAGCUCUGACCUUUUGAUAGUGGUUUUUAUGUACAGUCAUCCCUCCGUAUCCACAGGAGAUUGGUUCCAGGAGCCCCUUCGAGUACCAAAACCCAUGUGGAUGCUCAAGUCCCAUAAAUAAAGUGGCGGAGUGCAGUUGACUCUCUGUAUCCAUGGUUUCCACAUCCGCGGAUGCAACCAAUGUCGGUGUGGAAACUGCGGGUACAGAGGGCCGACUGUAUACAAAUAUAAGGAAGAAUGUACAGGCAUACUUCCUUUCACUGCAUUUCACAGACUCUAUGCUUUUUACGAAUUGAAGGUUUGUGACAACCUCGCAUUGUCAGAUGAUGGUUAGCAUAUUUUAGCAAUAAAGUGUUUUUAAAUUAAGGUAUGUAUACUGAUUUUUUAAACAAUGCUAUUGCACACUUAACAGGCUACAAUAUAGCAUAAACAUAGCUCUUAGAUGCACUGGGAAACCAGAAAUUUCACGCGACUAGCUUUACUGUGAUAUUCUCUUUAUUGUGGUGCUCUGGUACUGAACCUGCGAUAUGUCUGUAUGUGUGUGUAUGUGUGUGAAUAAAUGAUGUAUUUUAAAGUUGACUUUUGGAUAAUACGAAAUAUCUUACCAUAAUAUAAAUUCAUCUCCCAACCCAUGAUUGGUGGGAGAGUUAUUCUCUACUGAAUUAAGGGUAGAAAAAGGUAGAAAAGAUUCUUUUUAACUAAUUACCCAACCCACAGAACCCUCUGAAGUCAAGAAUCCUGGCUACCUCAUCACACCUUAGGAGGCCACCGUUCUUCAGUUGGGAUUGAACUUUGGUUGCUAGAGGCAACUCACACAUCAGCACAAAGAGAUGCACUUUGUGACUAAUUUUCUUUUCAAUCUUCGUUAAUAUUAUCUAAGUAAAAUGUAUGAGGGAAAGAAUAGAACAGUGCUGUUAGCUCUUACCUCCAUAAAAAGGUAUUUGUUAAGGGUUCAAAGGGACAAUGGCUGCUGUCUGCAGCCAUGAAGAAUCUGAAUUCAUGAACUUGGCAUUAUAUGUCUAGUGCUUUUGUGAAACUGUGCUUAAAUUUUGAUACAUGCAUUCAUUAUAGUGGAAUUUGUGAUUGCUAUAAGUAAAAGAGAACUCUAACUUGUAGAAAUGCAAACAUACUGACACUCAGGAAAGCAGAACCCACUUCAGCUAAAGGCAUAAUGGGAGACCUUUGUCCUUCUAAAGGUGAAUUACUUGUAGGCUUUCUGAUCAUUCUCUUUGGUGUAUAACGAAAUAUUUUCUCAGGAAAGAUGCUUCAUGCCUUUCAAGGUGGCAUGUGAAACAUCUGUGUGAUCUAUGAAAUAUUUAAAAGUAUUCACUAGUGAGAUGAAGUCAUGUCUUUACAAAUUCAGCAAAGUACUAUAAUCCUUGCAAUGUUGCAUAACUGUGUGUGAGGUUCAUACUUCUUGGUUUUUAUUGCUUUGUAGUUUUUAAGGUGUGGUUCUCUAAUAACAUUUAGGUCACAGUCACCCUAUGCCAGGAACAGUUGUAAGUACUUCACCCGCAUUAAUUGCUUUGAUCCUCCCAACAACCCUCUGUUUUCAGAGGAGGAUACUCUGAGCGAUUAGGUAAGUUUCCUAACUGCUAACUAUGGAACAAACAUUUGAACCUUUGACUUGGCUAUUGAUACCCCUGCCUGCUCACUUGGUGGUCUGAGAUCCCUCCCAGAUAUAGAAAUGUUUCUCUUUUUGCUACUUUAACCACCACAGCUUUUUUGCUGGCUUUCUACACCACACUGUGGAUGACAGUCAGAAACAACACUUGCUAUUUAGGUAAACAUUUUGCUGAGAUGAGUUGGCCUUUCACUGUUGAGGUACUUAGUUCAGAAAAACUUCUCUGCUAAAAAUCUACUUAUUUUACCUUUGUUAUUCAUGCCUUUAUGCCACCUUGAAGAUUUUUGGUAGAAUGCAUUUCCUGGCACAUGUGUAGCAAUAUCGGGAUCAUGAACUCUGCUUUAAGCAUCUGCAGUGUGGUAGGAGAUUUCACCUUUCACGUGGAGAUCACUUAAGUUCCUCUUAUACCCCAGCCAUCAUGCUGGGUUGUAAUAAAUGUGAGCUUUUGGAAUGGACCCAUCUAACUGACGUAACAACCUGGAUGAUUUCCAUUAGAAUAAUGUAUUCUAAAAUCAAAAACAGAAAGACACUGUUGGAUUUUAUUUGCGUUUCACUAUAUUCAUUUUUGAACACAGAAGGACAGUUCAAUGUAAUGCAUAGGACCUGAUGAUGUGGUCUCCAGCUUCACUUUGGGAUGGUGUUUGGAUCUCUUGAGAAUAGGAAUGAGCAGCUUCAGAAGCCUGAAAAGAUCUGAACUCUUCAAAUACAAAAACAUUGUUUUAUUAACAUCAGUAGAUCAUUUAUUUGUCAUGUGUGGAUUAUUUCCAAUCUCCUCAUCAUUUCAGCUUCAUCAUUUGAAUUGUUUCUUUAAAUAAACAUUCCUGAGUGAUAAAAAAAAAAAACCAUUACAAUAGAGAAUGAAAUUUAUUAGUCUAAAAGUAGCACCACACAGAAAAUACAAAAACAAAAACCAUUAGCUCAAUUGUAGUCAAGAUAUUUGUACUUAUAAUUAUACUAAUCAAAAUUGGAUAAGAAGGUCUGAGGUGGGCUUUGAAGUAAAUACAUGAAGGUGGGAAAUGAAAAGAAACUUAGUUUCACUUUGAUUACAUAUAUUGUUAUAAAUUAUCAUUAAGAAAUAUUUAAACAAUUGGUGUAGUAUAUACCAUUUGAUUGUGAUAUGCCUUAAAUAAAGAAAAUUG